AUUGAACGCUGGCGGAAUGCUUUACACAUGCAAGUCGAACGGCAGCACGGACUUCGGUCUGGUGGCGAGUGGCGAACGGGUGAGUAAUGUAUCGGAACGUGCCCAGUCGUGGGGGAUAACGUAGUGAAAAUUACGCUAAUACCGCAUACGAUCUAUGGAUGAAAGCGGGGGAUCGCAAGACCUCGCGCGAUUGGAGCGGCCGAUAUCAGAUUAGGUAGUUGGUGGGGUAAAGGCUCACCAAGCCGACGAUCUGUAGCUGGUCUGAGAGUACGACCAGCCACACUGGAACGGAGACACGGUCCAGACUCCUACGGGAGGCAGCAGUGGGGAAUUUUGGACAAUGGGCGAAAGCCUGAUCCAGCCAUUCCGCGUGCAGGAUGAAGGCCCUCGGGUUGUAAACUGCUUUUGUACAGAACGAAAAGGUUUCUACUAAUACUAGGAGCUCAUGACGGUACUGUAAGAAUAAGCACCGGCUAACUACGUGCCAGCAGCCGCAGUAA
rnacentral:rRNA from 1 species